rnacentral:rRNA from 1 species
GAUGAACGCUGGCGGCGUGCCUAAUACAUGCAAGUCGAGCGAACAGAUGAGGAGCUUGCUCCUCUGACGUUAGCGGCGGACGGGUGAGUAACACGUGGAUAACCUACCUAUAAGACUGGGAUAACUUCGGGAAACCGGAGCUAAUACCGGAUAAUAUAUUGAACCGCAUGGUUCAAUAGUGAAAGACGGUUUUGCUGUCACUUAUAGAUGGAUCCGCGCCGCAUUAGCUAGUUGGUAAGGUAACGGCUUACCAAGGCAACGAUGCGUAGCCGACCUGAGAGAGUGAUCGGCCACACUGGAACUGAGACACGGUCCAGACUCCUACGGGAGGCAGCAGUAGGGAAUCUUCCGCAAUGGGCGAAAGCCUGACGGAGCAACGCGGCGUGAGUGAUGAAGGUCUUCGGAUCGUAAAACUCUGUUAUUAGGGAAGAACAAAUGUGUAAGUAACUAUGCACGUCUUGACGGUACCUAAUCAGAAAGCCACGGCUAACUACGUG